CCACUGGGUUUGUGUGAACAGAAGGAGAAGCAAAGAUCUGAUCAGAGGAAGACGGCAGAGACGGUGAGGACAACUGGUCACCUGAAAACUAAACGCCUGAGCAGGAGGCCAGACGCAUUUCUGGAGGACAUUUAAUCAGCUGAUAAAAGAUGGCGCAGCAGCAGGAAGUCCAGCAGGAAGUCCAGCAGGAAGUGGAUUUUG